AGUGAACGCUGGCGGCGUGCUUAACACAUGCAAGUCGAACGGACUUAAGGGGCUUGCUUCUUAAGUUAGUGGCGCACGGGUGAGUAAUAUAUAGCUAACCUGCCCUUUAGUGGGGGACAACAGUUGGAAACGACUGCUAAUACCCCAUACUCCUUCUUACUAUAAGGUAAGUCGGGAAAGAUUUAUCGCUAAAGGAUGGGGCUUUAUUGUAUCAGCUAGUUGGUGAGGUAAUGGCUCACCAAGGCUAUGACGCAUACCUGGUCUGAGAGGAUGAUCAGGCACACUGGAACUGAGACACGGUCCAGACUCCUACGGGAGGCAGCAGUCGAGAAUAGUCUACAAUGGCCGGAAGGCUGAUAGUGCGACGCCGCGUGAACGAGGGAGCCCGUUCGGGGUGUUAAAGUUCUUUUCUAUACGAGCAGUGCUAAUAUAUAUGGAUAGUAUAUAUAGAGGGAUAGUAGUAUAGGAAUAAGCAACGGCUAACUCCGUGCCAGCACG
rnacentral:rRNA from 1 species